CAUUAAGGCCUCGUCCACUGCUUCCAGCUGAAAGACCCCCAGAGCGGGGAACCCUCACUCAAGUCUUGGGAUGACGCAACCCCCCAAGAACUCACACAAGACC
rnacentral:pre_miRNA from 14 species